UUUUAUAAGAAAAACCUUGAUUUCUGGUUUUUUUGAUUAUUUUUUUUUGUUUGUUCUUUAUUAAUUUGCGUUCCGCGUCUCCUUUUGCUCUUCUUCAUGUGGUUUGCGGUCCACCCUUUCAGGUUGUGUAGAUAACACUCAUUAAGUUUGUUUGGCUGUUUCUCAGGCUUGUGGUCUCGAAGCGUGUGACAGGGGUUUGAUGCUCUGCCUGUGAUGACAGAGCAGGGUCAGUGGAGGCAGGUUUGCAUCAGCAGUGAGACGCAGUCGGAGGACACCAGAUAAACCAGCUGUUAAUUUCAGAUGUGUGUGUGCAUCCACAGCUCUGUUAAUUAUUUCACUGACUGACAUCUUUGCUGAGCUCCCUUCGCACUUACCUGAACAGGUGUAGGCUUCACUGAGUUGAGGCUGAUGAGGUAAAACGCUGCUCAGUUGAGUGGGACAAGGUGACAGAGUUUUGUCUGUGUUUGAUUUUGUCUCGUUGGUUUUCCCAGGAUUCAGUUUUCAUUGAUAAACGUCACCUUUUGCUUUUGCCCUUGCCCUGACUCCUGCCUGCUGGUCAUGUCGGUCCGAGCUGCAGACGUGCGCUCACAGAGCUGAUGCUGACACACACCGAUAACACGCUGUCAGAUAAACAAACUGCGGUGGGUUUGUGGAAGUGGUGGCCUUGGUCUUGGACCCAACACCAGGUUUAAGAUUCAGAUCAUUUCACCAGAAGCUCGCCAACGUGGGUCAGAAGUCCUGUGAGCCGCUUCACCUCCAGGUCGACUGAGGAAGGUCAUGUGAUAUGGCCAGAAGCUUCAGAGCUGAAUCUAAAUGGGCCUUGAGAAAUCUGGACUCGGCGGUGCCGUCCCGUUCGUCCUCUGUGAGUACAAAUGUGUUUGUGUGUGCAUGCAUGUGUCGUCUUUGUCUGUAUUUUUUAAUUGUCUUUUAUUCCCAGUGAUUGAUUCCCCCCACCCAGUUUUAUUGCCUCAUGAUUUUGCCACGUUUAAACUUGUGCUACAGAACCCUUUGCUGUUUUAUCAUUUACAUAUCUGCAUUGGGGCAAAGUAACAAAGUACAUGCACUAAAGUACUGUUUUUAUGAUCCAAACGACUCGUUUCACGUCAUCGUUCACAGCUGUAGCUGGUGCAGAGCGUGUUACUGCUGCCGUUUUCUGUUUCUGGUUAUAAGUGGAAACUUCCCUUGUUUUUACGAACCCUUGUCAUGUUUAUUGGGACAUUUUCUCAGUUUUACUACACAUCAG